GAGAGUUUGAUCAUGGCUCAGGAUGAACGCUGGCGGCGUGCUUAACACAUGCAAGUCGAGCGAAGCAUAAAAACAGAUUUCUUCGGAAUGAAAUUUUUAUGACUGAGCGGCGGACGGGUGAGUAACGCGUGGGUGACCUGCCUCAUACAGGGGGAUAACAGACAGAAAUGUCGUCUAAUACCGCAUAAGCGCACAGUGCUGCAUGGCACAGUGUGAAAAACUCCGGUGGUAUGAGAUGGACCCGCGUCUGAUUAGCUAGUUGGUAAGGUAACGGCUUACCAAGGCGACGAUCAGUAGCCGGCCUGAGAGGGUGAACGGCCACAUUGGGACUGAGACACGGCCCGAACUCCUACGGGAGGCAGCAGUGGGGGAAUAUUGCACAAUGGGGGAAACCCUGAUGCAGCGACGCCGCGUGAACGGAAGAAGUAUUUCGGUAUGUAAACUUCUAUCAGGCAGGGAAGAAAAUGACGGUACCUGACUAAGAAGCCCGGCUUAC
rnacentral:rRNA from 1 species